rnacentral:rRNA from 2 species
GGGUUGUGAGGUUAAGCGACUAAGCGUACACGGUGGAUGCCCUGGCAGUCAGAGGCGAUGAAGGACGUGCUAAUCUGCGAUAAGCGCCGGUAAGGUGAUAUGAACCGUUAUAACCGGCGAUUUCCGAAUGGGGAAACCCAGUGUGAUUCGUCACACUAUCAUUAACUGAAUCCAUAGGUUAAUGAGGCGAACCGGGGGAACUGAAACAUCUAAGUACCCCGAGGAAAAGAAAUCAACCGAGAUUCCCCCAGUAGCGGCGAGCGAACGGGGAGGAGCCCAGAGCCUGAAUCAGCAUGUGUGUUAGUGGAAGCGUCUGGAAAGGCGCGCGAUACAGGGUGACAGCCCCGUACACAAAAGCGCAUGUGCUGUGAGCUCGAUGAGUAGGGCGGGACACGUGGUAUCCUGUCUGAAUAUGGGGGGACCAUCCUCCAAGGCUAAAUACUCCUGACUGACCGAUAGUGAACCAGUACCGUGAGGGAAAGGCGAAAAGAACCCCGGCGAGGGGAGUGAAAAAGAACCUGAAACCGUGUACGUACAAGCAGUGGGAGCACAGGUUUACCUGUGUGACUGCGUACCUUUUGUAUAAUGGGUCAGCGACUUAUAUUCUGUAGCAAGGUUAACCGAAUAGGGGAGCCGCAGGGAAACCGAGUCUUAAUUGGGCGUUAAGUUGCAGGGUAUAGACCCGAAACC